rnacentral:rRNA from 1 species
AUACGUAGGUGGCAAGCGUUGUCCGGAUUUAUUGGGCGUAAAGCGAGCGCAGGCGGUUUUUUAAGUCUGAUGUGAAAGCCUUCGGCUCAACCGAAGAAGUGCAUCGGAAACUGGGAAACUUGAGUGCAGAAGAGGACAGUGGAACUCCAUGUGUAGCGGUGGAAUGCGUGGAUAUAUGGAAGAACACCAGUGGCGAAGGCGGCUGUCUAGUCUGUAACUGACGCUGAGGCUACGAAAGCAGUGGGUAGAC